AUGGUGAUGGGAGCAGAAGGGUGUAUGUUUAUGUAUUUUACCCUCUUUCAUGACAGAGACCUGAUCCUGAAGUGACUGGAGAGAGCAGAAAAGUGAGGAAGCAUGGAAUAAAGCAGGAUAGAUGCCAGAGAGAAUAAAACCUCAGCCUGAGGUCAGAAGAGGUGACCUGGGGAGAGGGAGUUGUCCUCUCACUGUGUGCCAUGCAGAUCUGUCGUGGCAGGUCAUGCUGUGACCGAGGCAGCUUGGAGGAAGCAACAGGGCUGCAGCAAGUUGUUUGGGGUUGGUCAGCAAAUUAGCUGGCAGCCUUCUCGGACGGGUUAAUUGGAGGAGAACAUUCAAGAACAUUCAUGGGCGCAUGAACACACUGCCUGGACCACUUUAAGAGAAUAUAGACUCCAUAAAUCAGGUCUCCCACAGUUCCAUCUACUGCUUUUGAAGAAACAGUGGCUGCAGAAUCCUCUGAGUCCCCCCUCCUCCCCGUGGUUGCUGAGAACUGUUCUCUUUUCUGCGGAGAAAGAGAAGUGUCUGCUAAGUAUUGUUGGAGACGAGAUAACUGCCUCAUCAAAGACUGUGCUUCAUCAAAAUCCUUCAUCAAAGUGUCCAGCCAAGGUCUCUUGCAUUCACUGAGUUCUGGGGGAUCAAUGAGUCAUAGUCAGAAAUGCACCUGCUUCUGCUGGUUCUUGGAGAGCUUCUUUUAG
rnacentral:lncRNA from 1 species